CACGGGGGGGGCAAGCGUUGUUCGGAAUUACUGGGCGUAAAGCGUGCGCAGGCGGCUUUGCAAGUCAGACGUGAAAUCCCCGGGCUUAACCUGGGAAUGGCGUUUGAAACUACGGAGCUGGAGUGUGGCAGAGGGAGGUAGAAUUCCACGUGUAGCGGUGAAAUGCGUAGAUAUGUGGAGGAAUACCGAUGGCGAAGGCAGCCUCCUGGGCCAACACUGACGCUCAUGCACGAAAGCGUGGGGAGCAAACAGG
rnacentral:rRNA from 1 species